rnacentral:rRNA from 1 species
CCAGGAAUCUUGGGCAAUGGGCGAAAGCCUGACCCAGCAACACCGUGUGGGUGAUGAAGGCCUUCGGGUCGUAAAGCCCUGUUGAUAGGGACGAAGGGCGAAGGGUUAAUAGCCACUAGCUUGACGGUACCUUUCGAGGAAGCCCCGGCUAACUACGUGCCAGCAGCCGCGGUAAUACGUAGGGGGCGAGCGUUGUCCGGAAUUAUUGGGCGGAAAGAGCGUGUAGGCGGUUCGUUAAGUCUGUCGGUAAAUCCUGGGGCUCAACCCUGGGCGUGCGAUGGAUACUGCCGGGCUAGAGGGAGGUAGAGGCGAGUGGAAUUCCCGGUGUAGCGGUGAAAUGCGCAGAUAUCGGGAGGAACACCAGGAGCGAAGGCGGCUCGCUGGGCCACACCUGACGCUGGGACGCGAAAGCUAGGGGAGCGAACAGG